rnacentral:lncRNA from 1 species
CUUCCAUUUUUGUUCUUCUUCUUCCACUUCAUCUUUAGUUAGUUGACCCACUGGUUUGCCAUUAAUCACCGUUGGUGGAAUGUACUCCAGAGACAUGUCGUUAGCAGCAAGUCGAUUCUUCUGAAAUAAACUUGCCCACCCUUUGGGUACUUCAAUUUUUGACUUCUCCUCUAUGUUGGGCUUUGUCACGACUGGUUGUGGAGGUUG